CCCCGGGACACCCCGCCACGGCAGCCCGGGCCCCUACCAGCCGCACCCGCCGGGAGCCAGCUGGGCCUGGCUUUAACCCCACCAAAAAGCAAUGCAAAAAAUUUGUCCCUGUUAGCUGGCCCAUAAGAGCCCACCUAGCGAGGAUCUGCCAUGGAAGUGCCAUGCUCCUUCUGCAAAAUGAGAGCUGAGCAUCAAGAGGAGACUGCUGGGCUUACUUCUGACUCAGAAACACACUGAAGGCACAAUGGUUCACGUUGAAAAUUUGCUGUUGGGAAAGGAAGAGGAGCCACAUUCCCCGCAUUAGGGCUGUCAAACUGUUUCAAGUUUGAAAUGCAGCUAUUCGAAAAGCAACUCUCUCAGGUCCCAAGGACUUCAGUGGAAGAUAUGCAGUCUUCGAUUCACGCACAGUGUCUCCCUGAGAACUGACCCCUAAGGAAAGUCCCCUGUUUAAAUUAUAAGGACAGAAGAGUACAUGUGCCACGUGAGAAAAAAAUUAUUGGAAUCCAUGGGUUCUUCAGGAAGGUUUAAAAGAGACAACUACUUUAAAAUGCAAAAUUAUCAGUCCUUUUCGCACUUUGAGCAUCACAUAUGUGCAGGUGAUUCAGAACAAUCUAUUUUGGAGACAAACUGCAUUUCUCUAAUGUCUCAUAAUCCAAGAGCAGUGAAUCUGGGGUUUUUUCCUCCAAAAAAACCCCCAGACUCUUCUUCUUCUUUUUUUUUUUUUUUUUUUUUUUCUGUAAAUUAACACUGUUUCAAUGGAAAGUUUUUCCAAAAGGAAUUUCAAGGACAAAAUUCUAAGAGAGUGAAAAUAAACCUAUGAUAGCUCUGAGAAUAAGA